CCAGCCUGUGCUAAGAAAACUGCCCCACAUCAUCUGCAGUAGGACGGGGGAGUUGGAGCCCUGGUCAGGCCACUCUGCUACUGACCACAGUUUUCUCAUCUCUAAAAAGGCGCAGUAACAAUAUAAUUACCGUAUGCAGUCCCCCAGGAUACAGGGUCAAAGGAGAGCACAACCAUCGCAGUUGGAAGCCCAUGGGGCAGAAGCAAGGUCUCGCUGUGUUACCCUGGCUGGAGUGCAGUGGCUACUUACAGGCAUGAUCAUAGCAUACUGCAGCCUCGAACUCCUGGACUAGAGCAGUUCUCCUGCCUCAGCCUCCAGAGCAGCUGGGACUGCAGACACGCACCACAGAGCCCAGCCUGAGUCAUUUUGAUUCUGUAACUGGCUUCCUCUCGGCGGGCAGGCUCACACCCUCCACCCCCAGCUGGAGAUGGAAGGAGGAUGCUCACCGCCCAUUCCUCAUGCAGGCCAUCGAUGGAAAUGUCAGACAGUGCGAGUCCACGCCUGAACACUUCUGGGGUCCGCUCUGGGACUGACACUGGCAGAUCCAUCGGUGAGCUCCCGCCUGCCACCUCUGGGCCUGCAUUGCGGUGAUAGGGCCAAGGGCCUGGGCCUUCAAUUCUCCAGACUUGCCAAAAUGCUCAGCGCAGGCCUCGUCGGCAACUGCAGACAAGCAGAGGCAGCACCUGGGCUCUGCCUGUGCCUGGCACAGUGAAGCGAGGGUGGGGGCAGGAAUGAGGGUCCUCUCCAUGCAAGGGGGGAAGAUAGAAGAACAAAAUUUCACCCUAAUGUAGUGUCUUUAGACCGUGCAAUGUUGUGCUCCUGUUAGUCUGAUAUCAGGGGCUUGCAGCCUGGCAAAGGAAAAAAAACAGGCUGAGGCACAUGAUAGAAGACAGGCAGGGAUGCCACAAUCAUAACCAUGGCAAAGACCAGGAUCAGAAAGGCCCACCAUCUCUGACCCCAAAUCCCUGGGCAGAUGGUUCCAGAACUCAGAAUUUUCCCAGUUGUAGAAAGAUGGGGCCAGGUGCAGUGGCUCACGCCUGUAAUCCCAGCAUUUUGGGAGUACAAGGUGGGCGGAUCACCUGAGGUCAGGAGUUCGAGACCAGCCUGGCCAACAUGGUGAAACCCUGUCUCUACUAAAAAAAAAAAAAAAAAUUAGCCGGGCGUGGCGAUGCAUGCCUGUAAUCCCAGCUACUCGGGAGGCUGAGCCAGGAGAAUUGCUUGAACCCGGGAGGCGGAGGUUGCAGUGAGCCAAGAUCGCGCCACUACACUCCAGUCCGGGCGACAGAGCAAGAGUCCAUUCCCCCACCACCAAAAAAAAAAAAAAAAGAAAGAAAGAUGAUGUGAUACAUAUCACAUAUUUCCUAACACCCCCAACCAAACACAUUUAUGCAUAUGCAUAAAGCAGACGAGGAAAGAUUCUAAAUAGGCUCUGAAUCUCAGUUUUCUCAUCUCUACAAUGGGGCAGUGAUGGCAUGCACCUCCCAGGGCUGUUCUGAGAAUCUGAUGCCUCCCAUUGCACUGGUGAGCCUGGCACAGGCACAGGUCCCACCCCAGGCCCUUUGAACUGGCUGUUCCUUUGGCCUGGAACAUUCCUCCCCAGAUACCUCCUGAGAGGGCUCCCUCACUUCCUUCAAGGCACUGCUCAAAUGCUACCUCUUCACAGAGGCUUUCCCUGACCACCCCGUCUCUUUCCUCUUCCUGCAUAGCCUCUGUCACCUGACAUUUUAUGUCAUAAAUUACUCAUUUAUUAAUUUCCUGCUCUCCCACAGUGGCACCCGAGCUCUGUGAGGGCAAGACUUUGUUCGGUUGUGGGCUAUGCCCCCAACCCCUCGGACAGUGCCUGCACAGGUGGACAUUUUUGUUGGAUGAAGGAUUUUCUGUUAAAUGUGUCUGGCACACACAGAAAAACAAAGCCCAGCAGGUACGAUGGUGAUUAUUAUUGUUACUGGUGGCGCUCUA
rnacentral:lncRNA from 1 species